AUGAGCAGCGGUGGCAUCAUGUCGCCGGCGCUGGCGAGGUCCAGCGGUGGCAGCAUGUCCCCGGCGAUGGCGUGGUCACCGUCAUCCAGGAGGGGGGAGCACAGGAACGGCGGCGGCCGCUUCAGGGCGGAGAUCGAGAUGGACACGGGCGUCGCCCUUCCCAGGGGCCCGGAGCUUGGGUUCGCCGCCGCCGUGCGAGAGCCGCUGGUGAGGCUGCAGCGCCCCAAGUACGACUUCGAGAGGUGGGACUGGGGCUACUUCGCAUGGCCGCACGACCGUCUCGACGCCAAUCUGGAGAUGAGGGACAGCGAUCCGAGGGCGACAUUCGAGGCGGACUCCAAGGUGACAGAGAGCUUCCUGAGCCGGAGCACACUGCAGCUAGAGGCCGGCGAAGGCUUCCCAAGCCAGAGCUCGCCGCAGCUAGAGGCGAGCGAGGGCGGCUUCACGAUCCAGAGGACGCUGGAGCUAGAGGCCGGCCAGUGCUGCCUGUGUCAGAGCACGCUGCAGCUGGAGGCCGGCCAGUGCUUCCUGUGUCAGAGCACGCUGCAGCUGGAGUCCGUCCACGGCCAGGGUUUCCCGAGUAAGAGCACGCUGGAGCUGGAGGCCGCCGAGGGCUUCCUAAUAAGCCAGAGCUCGCCGCAGCCGGAGGCGAGCGACGGCUUCCCGAGCCAGAGCACGCUGCAGCUCGAGGCCGGCGAAGGCUCCCCAAGCGGCCGGAGCAUGCUGCCGGUAGAGUUCGACGACGACACGCCCCUCGGACGCUACGCGCCGUGGCGUCGGGGAUGCGCAGAGUCCAACCCGUUCCUGCUUGACCAUUGCAUGUCACCGCAAGGUCGUUGGGCAUACUAG
rnacentral:rRNA from 1 species